UGAAUGCAUGGGACUUGAACCAGAAGACUUUCUUUGUAAAAAAGAAAAAGAAAAAGAAAAAAAAAGAUUUCAUUCAUCAUUUUCAACAACACUUUGGGGCUAAUUUAUUCUCUCUUCUUCUUGGGGCUGGACGCAUGUCUUUAUUAGCCAUAUGGGCGUAGGCAAGGCAGGCUAAUGCUUAUAAUUUUUAUUUCCUUUUUUGGGCCAUUUGUUUGGUUCUUUUUCUGAAUUUUUUUUGUUUUCGUUCUCUAUAAUUUGCAUAAAAUGAUGUAGCUUAAUUCUAAGAAUCUUGUGUAAAAGAAAUACCUUCAAUUGGGUGUAGUUUCUUUGCAACUCCAUACCAGAGAAAUGUGUUUUUACCUUCUUUUUUUCCCUUCACCGGGCUUGGUUGCUGCCGUUGGCACUUUGACGGUGGAUGCCUACGCCACUUCUUAUUACAGCUGGUCUCACUCCAAGAACAAUAACUCUCAGCCUACAGAGAGUGGUGGUGAUGUGGAAGAGCACGGGCAUGUCCUGGCAACCGGGGGUCAUAUUGGCCACUGCCGUGCCUUAAGGAGAACCCGAAAACCAGCUUCGGUAGAAGAGAGAGAGAGAGAGAGAGAGAGAGAGAGAGAAGAGUUGAAGGGGUGGUACCAGCUUAUAUAGGAGAGAAAUUCGUUGUAUCAACUACAACUGAACCAUGAGGUAAUAGAAUUGUGAGUUUGAAUUCAGAGUAUGAGACUGAGGAAGUGUCAAGUGUCAACAUCCCUCACUCUCAUACUUUGAAUCCUCGCUCUCACAAUUCUAUUAGCUCAUGGUUCAGUUGCCUACGCCACUUCUUAUUACACAGGUCUCACUCCAUGAACAAUAACUCAGCCUACAGAGAGUGGUGGUGAUGUGGAAGAGAACCCGAAAACCAGCUUCGGUAGAAAAGAGAGAGAGAGAGAGAGAGAGAGAGAGAGAAGAGUUGAAGGGGUGGUACCAGCUUAUAUAGGAGAGAGAUAUUCAUGUAAAAUAUCAUGACAAGUUCGUGAGGGAGUUUAUGACUUAGUUUAGUACCCAUCGCCUUUAUGUUUCUUGGAUUCCAUGCACAUCCUUUAUCUCCCUUUGUUAUUUUAUGACUUGGAUAUCUUCACACCCUUUU
rnacentral:lncRNA from 1 species